rnacentral:lncRNA from 10 species
UUAAUUCAUAAUAUUUGUGUGUCUUCUCUUUUCUUCUCAGCUAGUCUCCAAAGGGUUUAUUUUAUUUCUUUUUUUGAAAGAACCAACUUCUUCAGGCUUUAUUGACUUUUUUCUUUGUUCUUUCUUUCUUUUUUUUUUUUUUUUUGAGAUGGAGUCUCGCUCUUGUUGCCCAGGCUGGAGUACAAUGGCAUUUUCUUGGCUCACCACGACCUCGGCCUCCUGGGUUGAAGCAGUUCUCCUGCCUCAGCCUCCUGAGUAGAGUAGCUGGGAUUACAGACAUGCGCCACCACACCUGGCUAAUUUUGUAUUUUUAGUAGAGAUGGGGUUUCUCCACGUUGGUCAGGCUGGUCUUGAACUCCCGACCUCAGGUGAUCCACCCACCUUGGCCUCCAAAAGUGCUGGGAUUAUAGGCAUGAGCCACCGCGCCCAGCCUAUUGACUCUUUAUUAUGCUGCUUUCUUUUCUAUUGCAUAGAUGUAUUGCCUUAUCUCUUUUUUCCCCUUCCUCCUGCUUUCUUUGAUUAUGUUUUUCUUCUCUUUAACUUAGAAAUAUAGCCCAUGAAUAUUUGGCUUGUCUAAUACAUCAUUUAUGGCUUCAUAUUUCCCUCAAGUGCCACUUUGGCUGUAUCCCACACAUUUUGUUGUAUAAUGUUUAUGUUAUCAUUACUCUCUAAUCCUUCAACAUUUUUCAUUUGAAUUUCUUCUUUGACCUAUGAGGAUGUAGAGUGCAGUUUCCAAUUGCCAAAUUACAUUUUCUACAUGUGCAUGAGUUUCUCCUUGUCCCUCACAUCAGACAGACAUUAGCUUAAUGGUUAAAAGUCUUGGGCUUUGAGAUCUAAUAGACUUGGAUUCAAAUCAUAGCUCAUUCACUCACUCCUGUAUUUAUUAAAUAGACAUUAUUCUUGGUGCUGAGGAUAUAUCACUAAACAGAAAUCCAUGCUCACAUAGAUGUUAUAUGCUGAUAUGCGUCCCACCAUUUAGUAGACUCCACUCUUAUUGUAUCAGUUGGAAAAAGUCUCUCAGUUUCUCCCUGUAGAUGAAUUUUUUUAUCUGUCAGUGAGAAUAAUAAUUAUUCUAUUCUAGGGAGCUCUUGGGAGAACGUAGUGAGACAAAGUGCUUAGUACAGUGGUUAGAACAGUGAACAUUUUAGUAAAUGCUUGCUAUUACCAUAUGGACAGCUUUCUUAGAAAGCCUUUCCAAACCUAGCCCCACCCCUCCCCUUCCUGGCACCCAGACAGAGCUAGAUGCUUCUUUUGUAUUCCUCCAGAGCAUAUUGUACUGGCCUCUAGCAGAAUACUCAGGCAAAAUAUUGUAAUCAUGAAUUGUCCACAUCUCCCACCAGACUGCCAGUUCUUUAAAGACAAAGAAUAUAUCAUAUGUAAUUUUUUUUUACCUCAGCAUCUACCACAGUGCCUGGCAAGUGUUAAAUGCUAAAUAAAUAUAUUUGAAAUGACUAAAGGAAGGAUUGAUACAGAUUUAGGAAAAGGAAAGUAAGUGUAUGUUGCUGAGAUAUCUAUUGAUUCGUUUAGUCAAAAAAUGUUUAUUAGGCACUGAUUACCUUCAGCCACUUUUCAAGGUACUGUAUAGGUUCAAACAAAACAGACAAAAUUUUGUUAUGAUACUUAAAUCUUAGAAAGGAGAAAUAUACAUCAGAUAUGGUUGAGUGAUUGCAGAAAAAUAAAACAGAUUAAAGAAGUAAACAGUAUUGUGGGAAGGCUGCUAUUUAAUAUGUGAUGGCCAAAGAAAGUCUCUCUGAUAAGGUGUCAUCUUAGUAGAGACCUGAAAGAAGUGAGAGGGCAAAUCAGAGGGACACGUGGAUGAAAUAUUCCAAGUUGAAGAAAUAGCAAGUGCUGAAGUUCUUUAAUCAUAUUCAAGGACAGCAAGGAGGCCAGUGUGGCUGCAGCAGAAGCACCGAGAGGGAGAGCGGUAAGAGGUGAAGUCAGAGUGGUGGGCAGAGAGAGUGAGGAUGCAGAGAGUGCAAACCCUUGCAGACCAUGGCUUUGCCUCUAAAUGAGAAGAGAUUCCGCUGAAGGGCUCUGAAUGGGGACGUUCCUGUAAUACACUCUGAGUUACAUUUUACAAGAAUCCCUCUGGCUGCUACAUGGAGGUCCGACUAGGGUUACAGGGGUAGUGGCAGAGACCACUUAGGACAGUAUUGCAACAUUCCAGGCUACAGUAGUGGUUUGGAUCAGAGAGAUAGCAGGUGGUAAUUAUGAUUCUGGGUAUUUUUCAAACAGAGCUGAUAGAUUUUGUUCAAUUGUGUGUGGGUUGUUAAAGAAAGAGAAGAAUCAAGGAUAACCCCAAAGUUUUUGGCUGAACUACUAAACAAAUUGAAUUAGCAUUUGGUUAGAGGUAGAAGACUGGUGAAAUAGCAAGUUUGUGUAUGUAUUGGGAGGGGGGUGGUUAGCAGUGGGUGUAUCAGGAGGCCCAUUUUAGAGCUGUUAAAUGUGAAUGUCUCUUACACCUCCAGGUGGAAAUGUUGAAUAAGUAUAUGGAUAUAUAGAUCAGAACAUCAGUGUUGAGAUCAGAAUCUCUUAUGCUAUCAACCUGUACAUAACUUUCUUAUUUACCACCAUCUUUUUAAAGUAUAAAUCCCUAUGGACCAGAUGAUUCUUGAGAAUCUUCUCUGAAGAGGAGUUAUAUUUUUCAGAUAGAUUUUUAGAUUUUAAAAAAAUGCCAAUUUUUUUAAGUAGGGCAAUAAUCGUAUUACUAUAAUAACUGACAUCAUAAUUGAAUAAUGAGCUUAGGCAUAUGCUUUGCAAAAACCUACAUACCUUAAAUAAAAUUGAAUUCAAAUGAGUAUCUUUUCAAAAGAACUGCUGAAUUCACAAAUGUAUGUAAACAGUUCUUAGUUCAGCUUAAUCUAAGUAUUAAUAUAAAAACACUACUAUGGAUAAAACCCUGGAUACCAGAGUGGACAGUUGAGUCUUACAUAUUCCCAGAGAAAUAUUUAAAGUAAGCUAACACAAGAAAAUCUUGCCUUUAGAAUUUUUAAGUUAAACUUUUAAUAAAGAUUCAAAUAAAAUAUUAAGAAACUUUCUAAAUGGUUCUGACAGUAAUGGUCCAGCCAGGGAAAUAAAGUUUCUAGCCUCUUUCUUGGGGCUUUCAGAAUAGACUAGAUAACCUUAGAAUUAAAUGUGGAUUUAUGUUUUUCUGAACAGUACCCCCUUUUAUUGACUACAUGUUUCCCCAAGAAUUUGUUUUAGAGUAGAUGUUUCAAAUAAAGGGUCCAAUUCUUAACCCAUUCACAUUGUCUCAUUUUGCAGAUAACCACUUGCCUAGCAUAAAAAUCUUUACGUUGUUCUCAGAAAUUGAUUCUUGACUCUACACAGCAAAUCCUUCGUCUUUAUUGCUGUGACCCAUUAUAAAUACCUUCCACUAUGAUGGGCUUAUAUUCUCCUAUUCUCCUCUAGCACUUACUCUCUUUUUUCCCCCAGGUUUCCAGGUCUUGGCAACCUUUGAAAUUCCAAUUCCAUUUGAGAGAGCUUUGACGAGGCCAUAUGCUGAUUUCACCACCAGCAACUUCAGAACCCAGUACUGGAAUGCCAUCAGCCAGCAGGCCCCUGCCAUCAUCUAUGACUUCUAUCUGUGGCUCACUGGAAGGAAACCCAGGCAAGGCCAAGAUGGCUCAAAGAGCAACCAGCCACCUCUGCAGCCUGCCACCUCCUGCUGGCAAGAUUUGUUUUUGCAUCCUGUGAAGAGCCAAGGAGGCACCAGGGCAUAAGUCUACUCACUUAUAUCUGUCUGGAACAUAACGCUUGUUUGUUUUUACAACAAAUAAAAUUGAUCUUGAAU